rnacentral:rRNA from 1 species
GGCGGACGGGUGAGUAACGCGUAGGAAUCUACCUAGUAGAAGGGGAUAGCCCGAGGAAACUCGGAUUAAUACCGUAUACCUCCUUUGGGAGAAAGAGGGCCUCUCUUGAUGCUCUCGCUAUUAGAUGAGCCUGCGUAAGAUUAGCUUGUUGGUGAGGUAAUGGCUCACCAAGGCUACGAUCUUUAGCUGGUCUGAGAGGACGAUCAGCCACAUUGGGACUGAGACACGGCCCAGACUCCUACGGGAGGCAGCAGUGGGGAAUAUUGGACAAUGGGCGCAAGCCUGAUCCAGCCAUACCGCGUGUGUGAAGAAGGCCCUAGGGUUGUAAAGCACUUUAAGCAGGGAGAAAAAGCUAUAAGUUAAUACCUUAUAGCCCUGAUGUUACCUGCAGAAUAAGCACCGGCUAAUUCCGUGCCAGCAGCCGCGGUAAUACGGAAGGUGCAAGCGUUAAUCGGAAUUACUGGGCGUAAAGCGCGCGUAGGUGGUUUGUUAAGUUGGAUGUGAAAGCCCUGGGCUCAACCUAGGAACCGCAUCCAAAACUAACUCACUUGAGUACGAUAGAGGGAGGUAGAAUUCAUAGUGUAGCGGUGGAAUGCGUAGAUAUUAUGAAGAAUACCAGUGGCGAAGGCGGCCUCCUGGGUCUGUACUGACACUGAGGUGCGAAAGCGUGGGUAGCGAACAGAUUAGAUACCCUGGUAGUCCACGCCGUAAACGAUGACAACUUGCUGUUGGGAGAACAAUUCCUUUCAGUGGCG